rnacentral:misc_RNA from 1 species
CACAUUCGGGGCGGCUUCGGCGCUCCUUAUACACCCACCCUCUGCCUACGUGUAACCUCUAUAGCUUCCUCGGGCGGGCUCGCCCCGCCGCCAGGAAACCCACGAAAACCCCUUGCAUUAUACGCGAAAAAACUUUCUGAUAACAAAACCUAAAUUAUCAC